GGUUAGCCCCGAGGGACUAGGUUGCAGCCAAAAGAAAUUGCUUUAAGGGAAGAGAUUGAGACACACAUCCACAUCUAUGAUAAAACUAUGGUUCUGCAUUGGAAGAUACUCCCAAAGGGCUGACAGUUCUUCGUGUGGCCCAAAUGACCCUAGGCAAUCAGCACCAGUUCACACAGAGACUGGACAGUGCCUGGAUGCUGGAGCAUGUCACACUCUCGU